AAAGAAAAGUGAAGCAGCUGCAGGAAACAGAGGAAACAAAAAUGACUUGUCUUUCUAUGUAUUCUUUUUCUUUUUCUUUCCGGAGUCAUUUUUUGUCU
rnacentral:ribozyme from 11 species